rnacentral:rRNA from 1 species
AACGAGACCUUAACCUGCUAAAUAGCCCGUCUUGCUUUGGCAGUACGCUGGCUUCUUAGAGGGACUAUCCGCUCAAGCGGAUGGAAGUUUGAGGCAAUAACAGGUUGAACUCACAGGCCUGUAACAGUGAGCCUCGUUAAAUAUUUUGCUAGUCCGCAUCUUUGUCUCUUUUGGGGGAGUCCCCUAUUAUCGGGAAGAGAGGCCGCUGCGGCGGCGUGAUGCGGGCAACACUACCUGGUACAGAGGACGCC